rnacentral:rRNA from 1 species
UGGGGAAUAUUGGACAAUGGGCGCAAGCCUGAUCCAGCCAUGCCGCGUGUGUGAAGAAGGCCUUCGGGUUGUAAAGCACUUUCAGCGAGGAGGAAGGGAGUUGUGUUAAUAGCACAGCUUCUUGACGUUACUCGCAGAAGAAGCACCGGCUAACUCUGUGCCAGCAGCCGCGGUAAUACAGAGGGUGCAAGCGUUAAUCGGAAUUACUGGGCGUAAAGCGCACGUAGGCGGUUUUUAAGUCAGAUGUGAAAGCCCCGGGCUCAACCUGGGAAUUGCAUUUGAAACUGGAAAACUAGAGUGUGUGAGAGGGGGGUAGAAUUCCAAGUGUAGCGGUGAAAUGCGUAGAGAUUUGGAGGAACACCAGUGGCGAAGGCGGCUAACUGGUCCGGUACUGACGCUGAGGUGCGAAAGCGUGGGGAGCAAACAGGAUUAGAUACCCCCGUAGUCCCUGAGCGGGCUGGCAAGGCGCAU